CCACUGUCUGAACUUAAAGAUCUGAGAAGCGUGAAGAGAGGUGUGUGUGGGGAGAAGCGUCGUGUGUAAAAGUGUGAAUGAAAGUGGUAUUCUGUAAUAAUUGAUAAUUUCCAACAAGGUUUAGGAAUGGCGAUGGCCAUACAAAGUAAAAACACGAUCCAUUUGGAAUUAAAACUAGCUAGGUGUCGUUUGAUUACUACUCUUUUUUUACUAUGUGUUUCGUCUGACACUAGUUCAUAGUAUUUUGUUUAUCAUGUGUGAACAUUUUUGGGAGCCACUAGCGGAGAUUCAUUUGGCAGUGAGUGAAGCACCAACAAGUGAUAGUGACAGUGAGGGUAUCUAUUGCCUCUGCAGCAGAGUUUUUAUACGUAAUGCUGAAUUUUUGCAAGGGGGAAUGUGCGAGAAAACUGAUGGAAGUGAGGACGAAACUCAUUAUAAUUUAGAUGGUGAAGAUUCCUAUACCUUAAUCCCGUUAGAAGAAAAAGGGAACACUGAAGUAACAGCACUGAAGUUGGUGGGUAAACCAGAAGAGGAAGCUGUGAGCUGUUAUUGUAGUGCAUCUCACACAGAUAAUAACUAUUCUACUGAUGAACAUGACAGUAUACGUGGUGAUGGUGGAGUUGUUGCUAAAGGCGGUUUGCAUCUCAGUGAUAGUGGGGCAGAUCUGUCAGAGUGUGAUGCUACAAAUCAAACAGAAUGGGAAAGAUACUGGUCAAUUAAUGGAGAACGUCUUAUCUGGGAAAGCUGGAUUUCAAAAUAUGGGGAAUACAUAAACCCUGACUACCUGAACCAGGUAGAUAAAUUUAAUAUUGAAGAACAACCGGCAGCUUCAGAAGGAAGUGCUAAUGCAGCAAGACAGUUAAAUCAGCAUGUAGAAUCGCCAACUGAAAAAGCCCCCACUGAUAACAGAAAUUUUCCACUUGAUGCAAGUUGUGCAAAUUUGGUGGAUACUGAUGCAGUGAAUACACCACAGUGUAUUGUUGAUGAUAAUGGUAAAAGUGAUAUAGAGAAAACUGAAGAAUGCAACAUUUCAGACCAGCUGCAAGUUAAGGAUGAAAUUGAACAAUGGAGCCUUCCUUCACCUCCAACCACAGAAGAAACUUCAAGUGACAGUCUCAGCAGUAGUGAGUACAAUCAGAGAUUUUCUAAUCGCUGUGAGUCUGCAAACAGUGGACUUGCUAACAUGACAGGUACCACAGACUCGAUGACAAAUGUCACACGUAUAACAGUUUCUUCCUUGGACUUUAGCUGUGACACUGAAGACUCUGUUCGCAGUGGUUCUCUAUUCUCCUCAUCAGGUGAAAGUGCCAGUGACGGUCAAGCUCUGACAGAAGCUGAUUUGUACUGGCAAGAAUUGUGGAAACAACAUUUUCAGGAACAGUACGAAAAACAUCAUCGUGCAUUUUUGGAAAAAACAUUUGACAGUAAUGCUCGUGAAAAAUCAUUGCAGCCGCAGUGCUCUUAUGAUCCUUUGGAAGAGCGUGAUUCAGAAAAUUACUGUAGUUUAAAGCAUAGUAAUGAAGGCUCUGACAGAGGACUUCAUAGAGUGUUGGAUGUAGAGGAGAUGGAGUCAUUAGACAUAGAAUCUGUAGAGAAAUCUGAAGAAUGUCAAAAUAAUGAUGAAGUUAGUUCAGUAGGUCAUGAGAAAUUGUCACAGAAUGAAGUUAUACCUAACAGUGUUCCCAAAAGCAUUCCAGGAAAUGAAAAUAAAGGCAAAAACAGAAGUGAUAAGAAGAAAGAAAGGAAACUGAUGGAUUCUGUAGGACACUUGCUAAAAAAUUUGAGUGUGUCACAAGCAAAUUCACAACCAGAUGCUCCAGAUUGUGACGAUAUACCUGAUGAAGUAAAAACUGUUACUCGGAAGAGGAGUCAUGAGAGUGAUUCAGAUGAAGCAAGCUUGCAGAGAGUUAAAGCUGCAUUUUCCUUAAUGGGCUACGCAUUUCAGCCUCACCGACACAUUCCGAAGAGUUCUGUGCUGUACCGAAAGCGUAAUAUAAGAGUACAGAAUAGGCAGUUGAAAAUGAACUUGAAUCGUUCCAUGGCAUCACGACACAUCUAUUAUGACGACGAUGGCAAUGAAUGUGAAUCUGCUCUAUCGAGGACAAAACAGUUUUUGAACAGUAUUACAACCUCCAGUGCACAACCUUAUGGAACCACAGCAGCUAUUAUUACUGAUACGCACUCAAGCUCAGAUGAAGAUAUUUCACCCGCCCAACGACAACAACAGAAAAGUGUUGUGAGGAAAGAAAGGAAGCGACUUUCACUUUGUGGCUGUGACACAGAUCCAGCAAGCACUGUAGAACUGGCAGAAAGUUUACCUGAUGCUGAAAAGUCUUCAGUGCUUGAGGUUGCAAACAGUGGUGAUGGAGAGUUCGUUGCUCUUGCAGAUGACCAGGAAAUAGUCAAGAAACCACAGCAGAAAAAGAAACGAAAGAAAGGAAAAAGGCUGAGUUCUAAAAUCCCAGAAGAAAUUAUAUCCAAUCCCAAGCUUAUGAAGUACUGGGUUCGACGAUAUCAACUUUUCUCGAAGUUUGAUGAAGGAAUUAGAAUGGAUAAUGACAGUUGGUUCUCAGUGACACCAGAAAGAGUAGCAGAACAUAUUGCUGAGAGAUGUCAGUGUGACCUGAUUGUAGAUGCUUUUUGUGGCUGUGGUGGAAAUGCUAUACAAUUUGCAUUCUUCUGUGAGAGAGUGAUUGCAAUUGACAUUGAUCCAGAGAAAGUGGCUAUAGCAAAGCACAAUGCUGGAAUUUAUGGUGUGGCAGAUCGCAUAGAGUUCUUAGUUGGUGACUACCUCAAUUUAGCUCCAUCUCUGAGAGAUAUUGAUGUGGUGUUCCUUAGUCCACCAUGGGGUGGUCCUAAAUAUCUUGACGUUGAUGUUUUUGAUAUUGACCACAUCAUGCCUCCAGUUGGUGGUAGUCAUUUGUUUGAAAUUUCAAAGGCUAUAACUGAAAACAUUGCUUAUUAUGUCCCACGGAAUGUAAACACAGACCAGGUCCUUUAGUACAAGCCAGACAAAUUGUACCACACUGCUGCAAGUGAGCUAAAGAUAUCGCAGCUGGUGAUGCUUGCAGGUCCAGGUGGUCAAGUAGAAAUAGAACAAAAUUUUCUCGACAAGAAACUUGUGGCAGUCACAGCAUAUUAUGGAGAACUUAUACAUGAGUAACAGUUAGGCAAUUAAUGUACCAAUAAACAUUUUUUUAAUAUCAUUUGAUGACUCAGUGUUAUUUAUGAAAAUGUAGCUCAGUGCAUUGUGAAGGAACUGAUAAAGAAAGGCGACUCCUAAGUAUUGAUCUAUGUUUGUAUUACCCAAAACAUAUGUCUGUUUUAAAAGUUUUAUGCAUGAUCUCUGAAUAUAUUGACAAAAUUUAUAAUAAAUGCAGAUUGUACUUCAAA